GUGAAUCAUCAAAUUUUUGAACGCGAAUUGCACUCUCUGGUAAUCCGGAGAGUAUGCCUGUUUGAGGGUCAGUUUAAAUAAAAAUCUGUGUGGUUGCUGCCUUUCGUGGUGACGCACCGGAUUUGGGUCGUCUUGCCUUCGGUUGAGUGUCCUAAAAUUUUUCAUGUUUUUUUUCGAACGUAUUUAGGUGAUAUU
rnacentral:misc_RNA from 1 species